rnacentral:rRNA from 1 species
AGUGAACGCUGGCGGUAGGCCUAACACAUGCAAGUCGAACGGCAGCACAGUAAGGGCUUGCUCUUACGGGUGGCGAGUGGCGGACGGGUGAGGAAUACAUCGGAAUCUACUUUUUCGUGGGGGAUAACGUAGGGAAACUUACGCUAAUACCGCAUACGACCUACGGGUGAAAGCAGGGGAUCUUCGGACCUUGCGCGAUUGAAUGAGCCGAGGUCUGAUUAGCUAGUUGGCGGGGUAAAGGCCCACCAAGGCGACGAUCCGUAGCUGGUCUGAGAGGAUGAUCGGCCACACUGGAACUGAGACACGGUCCAGACUCCUACGGGAGGCGGCAGUGGGGAAUAUUGGACAAUGGGCGCAAGCCUGAUCCAGCCAUACCGCGUGGGUGAAGAAGGCCUUCGGGUUGUAAAGCCCUUUUGUUGGGAAAGAAAAGCAGCAGGUUAAUACCCCGCUGUUCUGACGGUACCCAAAGAAUAAGCACCGGCUAACUUCGUG